GUAUCAUAUGCCUUCUGGACUCCUGUGGUAGCAUGUGUCUAAACAGGUACAGACCGCAUUAUGGAAAGAUGAUACCUAUGAUGUGCAUUAUAUGAAGUGGUGUUUCCUGGGAAGGUGCCAGUGCUGUUGGCAUAAGUGUCCACAUAACUUCCAUUACUCAAAAAAAGAAAAUUAAAAAAAUUAAUCCCUUAAGGACAGAGGCAAUUGUUCUGAUCAAAACCUAGAAUUAGAGCUGUAUGUCUGUUCAGCGAUAAGUCACCUCUUUCACAUUAAGUGAACCAACACUUCUAUAGACAAAC